GAUUGUGACGAGCAUUUGCUGCUGCAGAAUAAACCAAUUUUAAAAUGGGAUAACACCUAGUUCACGUGCAGCGCUA
rnacentral:tRNA from 1 species